rnacentral:rRNA from 1 species
AUUGAACGUUGGCGGCAGGCCUAACACAUGCAAGUCGAACGGUAACAGGAAGCAGCUUGCUGCUUUGCUGACGAGUGGCGGACGGGUGAGUAAUGUCUGGGAAACUGCCUGAUGGAGGGGGAUAACUACUGGAAACGGUAGCUAAUACCGCAUAACGUCGCAAGACCAAAGAGGGGGACCUUAGGGCCUCUUGCCAUCGGAUGUGCCCAGAUGGGAUUAGCUAGUAGGUGGGGUAACGGCUCACCUAGGCGACGAUCCCUAGCUGGUCUGAGAGGAUGACCAGCCACACUGGAACUGAGACACGGUCCAGACUCCUACGGGAGGCAGCAGUGGGGAAUAUUGCACAAUGGGCGCAAGCCUGAUGCAGCCAUGCCGCGUGUAUGAAGAAGGCCUUCGGGUUGUAAAGUACUUUCAGCGGGGAGGAAGGGAGUAAAGUUAAUACCUUUGCUCAUUGACGUUACCCGCAGAAGAAGCACCGGCUAACUCCGUG